rnacentral:rRNA from 1 species
GUCCACGCCGUAAACGAUGAAUACUAGUUAUUGGGGGUAUUGACUCCCUCAGUGACGCAGCUAACGCAUUAAGUAUUCCGCCUGGGGAGUACGGUCGCAAGACUAAAACUCAAACAAAUUGACGGGGGCCCGCACAAGCGGUGGAUUAUGUGGUUUAAUUCGAAGCAACGCGCAGAACCUUACCUAGGCUUGAACUCCUACGAAUCCGGCGUAAUGGCUGGAGUGUCCGCAAGGAAAUGUAGUGAGAGGUGCUGCAUGGCUGUCGU